AAGUCGUAACAAGGUUUCCGUAGGUGAACCUGCGGAAGGAUCAUUAUCAAAAGUCAGUCGGGAGCCCUAGUGGCUGCCGUCUACACCCAAGUCUUUUGUGUACUCAUUGUUUCCUCGGCGGCGUAAGUCGCCGAAUGGACAAACUAAAACCUUUUUGCAAUUGCAAUCAGCGUCAUUAAACAUAAUAAUAUUUACAACUUUCAACAACGGAUCUCUUGGUUCUG
rnacentral:misc_RNA from 1 species